rnacentral:rRNA from 1 species
CGAGGGGAGUCGCUGACGUAUAUACAUGCAGUCGAGCGAAUGGAUUAAGAGCUUGCUCUUAUGAAGUUAGCGGCGGACGGGUGAGUAACACGUGGGUAACCUGCCCAUAAGACUGGGAUAACUCCGGGAAACCGGGGCUAAUACCGGAUAACAUUUUGAACCGCAUGUUCGAAAUUGAAAGGCGGCUUCGGCUGUCACUUAUGGAUGGACCCGCGUCGCAUUAGCUAGUUGGUGAGGUAACGGCUCACCAAGGCAACGAUGCGUAGCGACCUGAGAGGGUGAUCGGCCACACUGGGACUGAGACACGGCCCAGACUCCUACGGGAGGCAGCAGUAGGGAAUCUUCCGCAAUGGCGAAAGCUGACGGAGCAACGCGCGUGAGUGAUGAAGGCUUUCGGGCGUAAAACUCUGUUGUAGGGAAGAACAGUGCUAGUUGAUAAGCUGGCACCUUGACGGUACCUAACCAGAAAGCCACGGUAACUACGUGCCAGCAGCCGCGUAUACGUAGUGGAAGCGUUAUCCGGAUUAUUGGCGAAAGGCGCCAGUGGUUCUUAAGCUGAUGGAAGCCACGCUCAACCGGGAGGGCUUGGAACUGGGAGAUUGAGUCAGAGAGAAAGGGAUUCAUGGAGCGUGAAUGGAGAGUAUGGGGACACAUGCGAGCGCUUCUGGCUGAAUGAAUGAGCCAAGGGGGGAAAGAUAGUACCUGUAGCACGCGAACGUGGGUAGGUAAGGUUCGCCUUAGGUGAGUACGAUAGAUCGCUGGGCGCCAGGAAUAAGAUGCGGGCCCAGGGACUUGUAUCAGACAAACUACGGUGACUAACUGAAGUUCUCGGAGGAUGGUGUCCCCUCGUUGUAGCCAGCACUGUAUCAUUGGAUAG